rnacentral:rRNA from 1 species
ACUUUACAAUGCGGGAAACCGUGAUAAGGGAACUCCGAGUGCCCGUAAAAUCGGGCUGUCCAUCGGUUUAAAUANCCGGUGAAGAAAGGGCCGGGCAAGACCGGUGCCAGCCGCCGCGGUAAUACCGGCGGCUCGAGUGGUGGCCACUAUUACUGGGCUUAAAGCGUUCGUAGCUGGUUUGUUAAGUCUCUGGGGAAAUCUGCCGGCUCAACCGNCAGGCGUUCCAGGGAUACUGNCAGACUAGGGACCGGGAGAGGUGAGNGGUACUCCAGGGGUAGGAGUGAAAUCCUGUAAUCCUUGGGGGACCACCUGUGGCGAAGGCGCCUCACCAGAACGGCUCCGACAGUGAGGGACGAAAGCUGGGGGAGCAAACCGGAUUAGAUACCCGGGUAGUCCCAGCCGUAAACGAUGCGCGUUAGGUGUAUCGGUGACCACGAGUCACCGAGGUGCCNAAGANAAAUCGUAAACGUNCCNC